CACGCCUAGGGCAGCAAAUUCCACUUCCUAGAACUGCAGACCGGGAGAGGAUGUAGUUAGAUUCUGGCAGCCCGCCCGGGCUCUUUGAGGGAAGGUUCUUUCCCCUGCUCUGAGUAGGGCGGGCCCAGCCUCCAUUCCCAUUGGGAGCCACGAAGUCGUCUUGUUGAUAGGUGUAGGGCAGCUGUUGGCAGCCGCUGGCCUUGUGGAUGGUAAGGUAAGCUGACGGUGUUGGUAUUUAAUGCCAUCCUCCCUCUGCUAGAACCCAGAAAGUCCACCUUCAUGCCAGGCCCACCAGCUGGAAGGAGCCCAGGAGGCAGGUCUUAGGGUUUCACGGUGAAAUGCUGCCUGACACCAGGGAAAACCUGACAUUGUAUUCUGCUUGAGAGAGGAAUUCCAGGGGUAGGGAUCGUGAGAGAACAUUCCCAGCCUCUUUAUAAUCCCAGGGCAGCAGUCAGCAAUUACUUAGGGAUAAAAGAUGAACUCUUUUUUUUUUUUAUUUUUUAUUUUUAUUUUUUUAGACGGGGUCUUGCUCUGUGGCACAGGCUGGAGGCUGGAGUGCAGUGGCACCAUCUCGACUCACCACAACCUCCGCCUCCUGGGUUCAAGCGAUUUUCCUGCCUCAGCCUCCUGAGUAGCUGGGAUUACAGGCAUGUGCCACCAUGCCCGGCUAGUUUUUUGUAUUUUUAGUAGAGACGGAGUUUCACCAUCUUGGCCAGACUGGUCUCGAACUCCUGACCUCAUGAUCUGCCUGCCUCGGCCUCCCAAAGUGCUGGGAUUAUAGGGGUGAGCCACCACGCCUGGCCAAGAUGAACUCCUUAAGGGCAGGAUUUGGUGAUUGACUUCUGUUUAGUUCUGUGAUCUUGAGAUUAUUUUCAGCUUUAUAAAUUUAGCAGUGGCAGGGCCCGCAGAGAAUCAGGUUAAUGCGGUAAAGGCCACAUCACCAAUUUUCUCAAUUUAAAAAACUGUCAAGAGAUUUAUUUUUCCAUUGCAGGUUUUAAAGUGGAGAUUCUUAAGUGGAAAAUAGGUACUGCUCAGAACAAAGCUACUUGGAAACAGCACAACGUGAAGCCUUUCGUGAGGGCUUGCAGGCCGCUGCUGAGUGGCAGUUUACAGAAGAGGUCGCGGGGUGAGCCUCUUAGGACAGAAAACAGAAGGCAGCAGUGCACCUGCCACCCCUUUGUUGGUGCGAGCUGCUCCUUGAGCCUAAAAAGUAGGCUUUAUUCAUCCCUUCUGUUCAUUUACCAACCUGGGGGAUUGAUAUGACCAGGGAAAACAUUCCUAAACCAGGAAGCUGCACUAGCCGAUCAGGCUUGGUAAGGUCUCGGCCACAGCUGGCUGCUAGGAGUACCCCCACGAUAGGCACAGCACACCACUGUCCCUUCGCUGCACUUUCUUCCUGCCUUAGGUAGGUGGGCUUGCCCACCAUAGUUUGCUUUUGUCGUGGUUUGGCAAGGUUAGAAGACCUCGACCUCUCUGUCUUGCUGGGAAGUGCUUACUCUCUGGGCCACUGCUGCAGAAGAUGUGGUACUUGUCAUGGGUUUGGAAGACACAGCCAUCUGCAGUAGAGGCAGCCUAUCCCAUUGCAAGGAGAGGAACUUAAUGGAGUAAUUAUUCUACUCUUCUUUUUACAUACAGAAAUGUUUAUUUAAAUAUUCUAAAUUGGAUUUUCUUUCACAGAUACUGAUGAUUCUUUCGAGUUCUUAAAUAAAACCGCACUUGAUUUCACUCAA